UUUCCGUAGGUGAACCUGCGGAAGGAUCAUUAUCCAUCUUCAACCAGGUGCGGUCGCGGCCUCCAGGCAACUGGGUGGUUUCGCGCCGCAUUCCUGCAUCCUUUUUUUACGAGCACCUUUCGUUCUCCUUCGGCGGGGCAACCUGCCGCUGGAACUUAACAAAACCUUUUUUUUGCAUCUAGCAUUACCUGUUCUGAUACAAACAAUCGUUACAACUUUCAACAAUGGAUCUCUUGGCUCUGGCAUCGAUGAAGAACGCAGC
rnacentral:misc_RNA from 1 species